GUCUUUGUAGCUUAAGAAAAGCGGGAAGCUUUUAACUUCUUGAUGCAUGUGUGCCGGGGGCU
rnacentral:tRNA from 1 species